rnacentral:rRNA from 1 species
GUAAACCCCGCCGUUCACACCUUGGGAGUUGGUUCUACCUGACGACGCUGCGCUAACCUUCGGGAGGCAGGCGGCCACGGUAGGAUCAGCGACUGGGGUGAAGUCGUAACAAGGUAGCCGUAGGGGAACCUGCGGCUGGAUCACCUCCUUU